CCAAAAUAAACCUAUGAAAAGAACCAUGCACAAGUACCUCAAAUAUAGUCCAAAUGAAGUGAUUAUGGACUUUUUAGAAAGGUUACAUAACUUUCAUGUUUAAUACUUUCCCAUUUGAAGCCUGGAUCAUGAUGAAUUGUUUGGUGGAAAUUUUGAGAAAUCAAACAAUUGUAUUUUUUCUAAGUACCAAGUCAAAUGACCACCUCUUCCACCUUGAAUAACUUUUGCUAUGAACUACAAAUGGAAAUGGUUUCUUCAUCAAAGUUUUAUAUCUUUCAUCCCUAUUCAAUUUGGUCACAAAUUUGACUUCAUUUGGAUUUUGACCUCUUAACUAGGGCACAAACAAAAUGACCUAUAAUCUUUCACCAUUAAAAAUGAAUUUCCAAGCAAAACUAGCUCUUGAUGUCAACAGGAAAGUUGUUUGGAAUGUCAUAAGGAGCAACGUUUCUCUUGGAAUCAUUUUCAUAUGACAAAUACUAUAGGAGAUAGGGUCUAGGGAACCCCGGUUUUGACCAAUGGAUUUUCUCUGAUUAACCUCUUUGAACCAAGUUGCAAACUUGAAGUUCUUUUGAUCUUUUGGACUCAUGUAGGAUCAUAUAUGUAUAAUAUGAUGUAUUUUGAAGUAUACCUUGAUAUAUUGGACCAAUUGUUGAAUAAACUUAUUGAGGAAGUCACACAAGAUACCGAGAUGAAUUAGGGCUUCCAAUGUAAACUAGCUUCAAACUCUUGUUUAAUUAUUGAUCAAAAUGAUAAAUGAAGAACAUUGGGAUCCAUAUAUAAUGUCAAGAACCAUUUUGAAAUCUAUCUUGCAUUGAGGGUCUCCACCCCUAGUUAUAAGCUUGAUGAAGCAUUGGUGGAUGCAUAUAAUACCUACAAAAGAAACAAAGUUAUACAUAGACAUACUUUUGGUUUUUUGAUUAGUAAAUAAAUAAAAACAAAGUAUGAUACAAUGAAAUGUUCUUGGUGAUCUCUCCCAAUGCAAACCCAAUCAAUGAGGGGUAACGAGGAUGCCGAGGUGUGAUCCCAAAGCCAAUGCAAAUAUUGAGAUAGCAUGAGGGAUCUUAGGAUCAAAAUUGGGAUCUUACAUUAGGGUAAAUUUAGAGUAUGAUCGGUUCCAAUAAAUGUCUUCCUGUUAGAACUUGCAACAUUAUCGAACCACUAUUGAGAAGAAUCUCUAUGUUAAAGAAGGAGAGGAACACCCAAAUGGUGGGAGAGAGGGGCAUCUAGGUUAAAAAAUAUUAUAUGGAAAACCAUUAAAUUUCUCCAUACGUUAGAGUGAUUUAGGAAGGGGAGAUGUUAGUAAUCCCCAGUACGUCUGUCUCAAAAUAGGUAAAAGGGAACAAACCCCCCAACUCGUGGAUAAUAAGAAGCAGAAGACUCGCUCGCAAUGAGCAUAUUGGCUUUCUCCAUUUUUAAAAAGGGUUCUAGGGUCAUGUCCUUUUUGCGCAAUUUCAUGACUAACAUGAAACCAUCCUCUAUUUAAGACUCAUGUAAAGUUUGGAUAAAAAACAUUAUGACACUAUGAAAGAAAAUCAUUAAUAGAAGAACUAACAAGUCCUGAAUGAAUAAAAUACAAAGAUUAUAAGUGAAACAUAAUCUACUAAAGUACAAAUAUUAUGCUCUUACUAGACACAAGUAAACAUUUAAUUUUAAUCUCCAUAAAUUUUUUCCUAUGGUUAUUAUAAAAAUAAACAAUUAAUUAUAUCUCCUUAGUUUUUUCAAAGGUUAUUAUAUGUGUAUUGAUAUUUUAUUUGUUUGCAUCUUUUAAAUGUGAACAGGGCCAUCGUAACUAUUAAAAAGUAAGAGAAAUAUAAAUUGAAGAAUGAGAAAUAUCAGUAGCUUUACAAUAUUAUUAUAUAAAUAUAGAAGUAUAAAAUUUUAAGAAACUUUAAAUUAUUUUCAAUUUAAUUUUUAAAGAUACUUUGAGAGGUGAUAAGAUGGAUAAACGGUGCCAUGUAACAUUCUUUAUUCUCCUUAACCAACUUGUUUAGUAUGUGGAUAUGGAUAUUGUUUGUUAAAUUACCUUAAAAUUGAAUGUUCAAUGGAUCUAUUAAAUAAUACGCUUUCAAUUUUCUUUCAUCACGUGUCUCAUGCAAGACCCUAAUUAAAAGGUAAUGCAAAUGUCAAAAUUUUAUGUUAAAGUAUCAGAACAAUGAAUUAUGGAAUCUCGUCUAUCAUACUACAUAAUCUUUUUCAUUUCCGUUUAGUUAGAUUUGCAAAUAAGAGUGUUAGAUUACAUUAUUUUAUUUCCUCUAAAUAUUAUGUUGUAUGAUAUAAAAAGAGAAAAUAAGUUUUUUAUUAGGGUGCUUGAGGAGAUGUUGUAUCUCGCUCCAACUGAAUAGAUAAAACAUCAUUUGUUUGUGAAAAGCUUUUUUAUUCGCGUUGAGGAAGAAGUUAGAUUAAUGGGUUGAAAUCAUUUUUAGGUGGAAGAUAAUUAUUCGAAAGGAAGGAUAUACUCCUUUUAUAGAUAAAAGUAAAAAUAAAAAUAGAGAGGAAAUGGCUCGCUCGUAAUGAGCGUAUUGGCUCUCUGCAUUUAAAAACACGGUUCUAGGGUCACAUCCUCUUCGUGUAAUUUCUUGACUAACAUGUAUCCUCUAUUUAAGACUCCUAUAAAGUUUGAAUAAAAAACUUUAUGACACAGAGAAAGAAAAUUAUUAAUAUAAGAGGUAACAAGUCUUGAAUGGAUAAAAUACAAAGAUUAUAAGUGAAAUAAAAUCUACUAAAGUACGAAUAUUAUGCUCUUACUACACACAAGCAAACAUUUAAUAUUAAUCUCCAUAAAUUUUUCUUAUGGUUAUUAUAAAAAUUAACAAUUAAUUAUAUCUCCUUAGUUUUUUCAAAGGUUAUUAUAUGUGUAUUGAUAUUUUAUUUGUUUGCAUCUUUUAAAAGUGAACAAGGCCGCCGUAACUAUUAAAAAGUAAGAGAAAUAUAAAUUGAAGAAUGAGAAAGAUCAGUGGCUUUACAAUAUUAUUAUAUAAAUAUAGAAGUAUAAAAUAGUAAGAAACUUUAAAUUAUUUUCAAUUUAAUUUUUAAAGAUACUUUGAGAGGUGAUAGGAUGGAAAAGAAAAUAUGAUAUGCAUAAAUUGAAGGUCAUGAAUAUUUCUCUAAAAUUUAAAGGGAAGAAGAUACUAAAAAUAUUAUUAUUUGUUGUCCUAUUUCAUUUCAUUACAAUAAUACUAGUGUAUAAAUCCAGAACUAUUAGGUUGUUGUAAUAAAAUUUAAACAAAAACUCAAAUUAUUGAGGGUAAAAAUACAAUAUCCAAAUGACAUACGAUAACACAUAAAAUAUAUUAGGUGUUUGUGUCUUAUCUGGGGACUUUCAAUUAAAAACUAAAUUUGUAAACUCUUAAAGGAAUUUAUUUAUCUUCUCGGAUUAAGCAAUUCACGCACUAUUAUACAUUUACAAUUAGUGCGGUUCAUGCAUUUUCCUCUAUAAGGAGGUCGGCAAUAAAUUUUGUUUUCACAAUCUGAAUCAUCAAAACAUUUGAUUUUCUCUGCUGCAAUUAAAAAAACACUAUAAGGUUAUUAAAAUGAAAAAAAAAUACAAUGUAUGAAAUAAAAGAGAACAUUUAAAAUGAAUGAACAAAAGUUACCUUUAAUUUUCGUUCCAAUCAAAAACAGAGAGACUAACAUAAUCAUAACAUAAGCAAAUUUUACUAUUUGUACCAUAUUUCUCCUCGUUAUUUUUAUAAAUUAUUUUGUAACUUUGUAGUUUAUGAAUAAGAGUGGAUCCUCGCCUUUUAUAAUUUUUACUUGUGGACACUUAGUUGUAAAAUAAAUCUUAAAAUUAAAUUAAUUAGUAUAUAACUUUUCGAUACAUCAUUUUUUUGUCUUUGUCUCUUCAGCACAUCCAAAAAAGAUGUAAAAUAAAACAUGUCUAUCAUAAAAAUUUAUUCUUCUUAUAAUAAAAUUUUAAUCAUUUUAUAUUAUUUUACCUCGGAUGUGAAUGGGAGAUUACCUUAGUUAUAGAGAUGGGAUACCAAAGAGCGUCAUAAAAAACUAACAUCUUAUCGAUCGGUUUUGAAUAACCGAGGGGAAAGGUGAAAAAGUCAUUCAUUUGAUCCCCAGUGUAGGUCGGAUUUUUUUAAAAGUUAUAGAGAUGGGAUACCAAAGAGCGUCAUAAAAAACUAACAUCUUAUCGAUCGGUUUUGAAUAACCGAGGGGAAAGGUGAAAAAGUCAUUCAUUUGAUCCCCAGUGUAGGUCGGAUUUUUUUAAUAACUGAGGGGUAUAACCAAUGUUUUUUAAAAUUCCAUUUUAACUGACCUUGAUCAUUUUUUAUAUAGAUCCUACAAAUUAGGUGAGAGAAUCAUAUCAAUUGUAUUUUAUUUAGAAUAUAAAACAAAAUACCAAUUUUACAUUGUUUAUAAAAGCAAAUGUACAAUCCUUGCAAUACUUAUCGUGAUAUUUGGUAUACACAAAACCUAUGCCAAGAGAACCUAUACAUAUUUUCACCUAAAUUGACAAAACAUUUACACAAUGCUAGUGUAUAGAUAAAAAUCAAGAAAAACUAGUGUUUACUAGAUUCAUAAUGACAUAAGAAGACACUUGCACAACGUGAUCGGAUGUCAUCUAUAUCCUCUUGUGGAAAUGGUGUUUUAUUGCUAGACGCUUAUAAUUUGAACAAAAUUUAAAUUAUGAUAAGAUAACUACAACAAUAAUAAAUAACAAUUAUACAUAAAUUACAUGUAUAUGGAUAAAGUUAAUACCUUAUUCAAUGAAUUAAUAAUGCCAUUAGAGAAAAUAUUAGACAUAUGUAUCAUAGUAUUAUAUCGACAUAUAAAGUUCUGUGAAUACAUAAAUUACAUGUAUAUGGAUAAAGUUAAUACCUUAUUCAAUGAAUUAAUAAUGCCAUUAGAGAAAAUAUUAGACAUAUGUAUCAUAGUAUUAUAUCGACAUAUAAAGUUCUGUGAUUAUCUUCGCUGCUACAAAUAAUUUUCAUAUUGUUACUAAUUAAUACACACAAGACACAAGUAAUACAUUAGAGAAACUAAAAUAAUAUCAAAAAGCAUAAGUAAUACUUACACGUGGUUCUAUGAACUUUAGCUUUUUACCCUGUAUAUUACGUUUCACAAAAUUGUAUCCCUCCAAAUCAUUACAUGAUGGUAAAAAUCAAACAUGAAUAAAACUUUUCAAGACUAAAGGUAAAAUUUGAGUAUUCCAAAUAAUACCACUUACGCACUUAAAAUCUUUUGUAUAUCUUCAUCAAGAUGACAAUGUAACCAGCAUAACAUAACUAUAAUAUUUUUCUUCUGACAUAAAAUAAUUAAUUGCAAAUGUUUGCUACAUAAAAACAUAGAAUAAUUACCAAUGUGUGUAUAAAAUUGAUUUAUAAAUGAAAACACAAAUUAAAUCAUAUACUUAAUUAUGGAUAAAUUAUGACAUGUAAUAUUCUUUAUUCUCUUUAACCAACUUGUUUGUAUGCGUAUAUGGAUAUUGUUGGUUAAAUUACCUUAAAAUUGAAUGUUCAAUGAAUCUAUGAAAUAAUAUGCUUUCAAUUUUCUUUCGACACUUGUCUCAUGCAUGACCCUAAUUAAAAGGUAAUGCAAAUGUCAAAAUUUUAUGUUAAAGUAUGAGAACAAUGAAUUAUGGAAUCUCGUCUAUCAUACUAAAUAAUCUUUUUCAUUUCCAUUUAGUUAGAUUUGCAAAUAAGAGUGUUAGAUUACAUUAUUUUAUUUCCUCUGAAUACUAUGUUGUAUGAUAUAAACAGAGAAAAUUAUUGUUUUAUUAGGGUGCUUGAGUAGAGGUUGUAUCUCGCUCCAACUGAAUUGAUAAAACAUCAUUCGUUUGUGAAACGUUUUUUAGUCGCGCUGAGGAAGAAGUAAGAUUCAUGGGUUGAAAUUAUUUUUAGGUUGAAGAUGAUUAUUCGAAAGGAAAGAUAUACUCCUUUUAUAGAUAAAAGUAAAAAUAAAAUUAGAGAGGAAAUGACUCGCUCGUAAUGAGCGUAUUGGCUCUCUGCAUUUUAAAACAGGGUUCUAGGGUCACAUCCUCUUCAAGUAAUUUCUUGACUAACAUGUAUCCUCUAUUUAAGACUCAUAUAAAGUUUGAAUAAAAAACUUUAUGACACAGAGAAAGAAAAUUAUUAAUAGAAGAGGUAACAAGUCUUGAAUGGAUAAAAUACAAAGAUUAUUAGUGAAAUAAAAUCUACUAAAGUACGAAUAUUCUGCUCUUACUACACACAAGUAAACAUUUAAUAUUAAUCUCCAUAAAAAAUUUCUUAUGGUUAUUAUAAAAAUAAACAAUUAAUUAUAUCUCCAUAGUUUUUUCAAAGGUUAUUAUAUGUGUAUUGAUAUUUUAUUUGUUUGCAUCUUUUAAAGGUGAACAAGGCCACCGUAACUAUUAAAAAGUAAGAGAAAUAUAAAUUGAAGAAUGAGAAAGAUCAAUAGCUUUAUAAUAUUAUUAUAUAAAUAUAGAAGUAUAAAAUUGUAAGAAACUUUAAAUUAUUUUCAAUUUAAUUUUUAAAGAUACUUUGAGAGGUGAUAGGAUGGAAAAGAAAAUGUGAUAUGCAUAAAUUGAAGGUCAUGAAUAUUUCUCUAAAAUUUAAAGUGAAGAAGAUACUAAAAAUAUUAUUACUAUGUUGUCCUAUUUCAUUUCAUUACAAUAAUACUAGUGUGUAAAUCCACAACUAUAGGUUGUGAAAAUAAAAUUUAAACAAAAAAAAUUAUUGGGGUAAAAAUACAAUAUCCAAAUGACAUACGACAACACAUAAAAUAUAUUAGGUGUUUGCGUCUUCUCUAGGGACUUUCAAUUAAAAACUAAAUUUGUAAACUCUUAAAGUAUUAUUAUCUCCUGGGAUUAAGCAAUCACGCACUAUUUUACAUUUACAAAUAAGUUUGCUUAUGCAUUUUCCUCUAUAAGGAGGCCGGCAAUAAUUUUUUUGAUAAUCUGAAUCAUCAAAACAUUCGAUUCUCUCUGCUGCAAUAAAAAACACUAUAUGGUUAUUAAAAUGAAAAAUAUAACGUAUGAAAUAAAACAGAACUUUAAAAUGAAUGAACAAAAGUUACCUUUAAUUUUCGUUCCAAUAAAAAUAGAAAGAAUAAUAUAAUCAUAACAUAAGAAAAUUAUUACUUCUACCAUAUUCUCCUCGUUAUUUUUAAUAAAUUAUUUUGUAACUUUAUAGUUAUGAAUAAGAGUGGAUCCUGCCUUUAAUAAUUUUUACUUGUGGACACUUAGUUGUAAAAUAAAUCUUAAAAUUAAAUUAAUUAGUAUAUAACUUUUCGAUACAUCAUUUUGUUGUCUUUGUCUCUUCAGCAUAUCCAAAAAAGAUGUAAAAUAAAACUUGUCUAUCAUAAAAAAUAUUCUUCUUAUAAAAAUUUUUAAUCAUUUUAUAUAUUUUACCUCGGAUGUGAAUGGGAGAUUACCUCAGUUAUAGAGAUGGAUACAAAGAGCGUCAUAAAAAACUAACAUCUUAUACGAUCGUUUUGAAUAACCGAGGGAAAGGUGAAAAAGUCAUUCAUUUGAUCCCCAGUGUAGGUCGGAUUUUUUAAUAAUUGAGGGGUAUAACCAAUGUUUUUAAAAUUCCAUUUUAACUGACCUUGAUCAUUUCUAUAUAGAUCCUACAAAUUAGGUGACAGAAUCAUAUCAAUUUGUAUUUUAUUUAGAAUAAAACAAAAUACCAAUUUUACAUUGUUAUAAAAGCAAAUGUACAAUCCUUGCAAUACUUAUCGUGAUAUUUGUAUACACAAAACCUAUCGCAAGAGAACCUAUACAUAUUUCACCUAAAUUGACAAAACAUUUACACAAUGCUAGUGAUAGUUAAAAAUCAAAGAAAAACUAGUGUUGACUAGAUUCAUAAUGACAUAAGAAGACACUUGCACAACGUGAUCGGAUGUCAUCUAUCUCCUCUGUGGAAAUGGUGUUUUAUUGCUAGACGCUUAUAAUUUGAACAAAAUUUAAAUUAUGAUAAGUUAACUACAACAAUAAUAAUUAACAAUUAACAAUAAUUACAUGUAUAUGGAUAAAGUUAAUACCUUAUUCAAUGAAUAAUAAUGCCAUUAGAGAAAAUAUUAGACAUAUGUAUCAUAGUAUUAUAUCGACAUAUAAAGUUCUGUGAUUAUCUUUGCUGCUACAAAUAAUUUUCAUAUUGUUACUAAUUAAUACACAAAAGACAAAGUAAUACAUUAGAGAAACUAAAAUAUCAAAAAGCAUAAGUAAUACUUACACGUGUUCUAUGAACUUUAGCUUUUACCCUGUAUAUUACGUUUCACAAAAUUGUAUCCCUCCAAAUCAUUACAUGAUGGUAAAAAUCAAACAUGAAUAAAACUUUCAACAGACUAAAGGUAAAAUUUGAGUAUUCCAAAUAAUACCACUUACGCACUUAAAAUCUUUUGUAUAUCUUCAUCAAGAUGACAAUGUAACCAGCAUAACAUAACUAUAUAUUUUUCUUCUGACAUAAUAAUUAAUUGCAAAUGUUUGCUACAUAAAAACUUAGAAUAAUUAAAAUGUGUGUAUAAAAUGAUUUAUAAUGAAAACACAAAUUAAAUCAUAUACUUAAUUUUGAUAAAUUAUGACAUGUAAUAUUCUUUAUUCUCUUUAACCAACUUGUUGUAUGCGUAUAUGGAUAUUGUUUGUUAAAUUACUAAAAUUGAAUGUUCAAUGGAUCAUAUGAAAUAAUAUGCUUUCAAUUUCUUUCGACACUUGUCUCAUGCAUGACCCUAUUAAAAAAGUAAUGCAAAUGUCAAAAUUUUAUGUUAAAGUAUGAGAACGAUGAAUUAUGGAAUCUCGUCUAUCAUACUAAAUAAUCUUUUUCAUUUCCAUUUAGUUAGAUUUGCAAAUAGAGUGUUAGAUUACAUUAUUUUAUUUCCUCUGAAUACUAUGUUGUAUGAUAUAAAGAAAGAAAUAAUUUUAAAUUGAUAUUUUCAUUAUUAUAUUUUUCAUGAUUUAAUUGAUAUGUGAAUAUUUUUAAUGUUUAAAAAUACUUUGAAGUUUUCAAAAUUAUGAUUUUUUUCUCCAAGGUACUUUGACCUUGUUUGACAUAUGAUAAUCUCAUGGCAAUUUUUUUGUGUUUUGAUGAGGUUUUUAGGAAAUUGACCACAUAUUUAAUUUAACGCAUAUUUUGUUAUUUUUAAUUGUUUAAAUGCCAAAUAAAUUGUGUAGAGCCAUUUAAUUGACUUUGUGAGUUUGACUUGUGUUGUUGGACCUUGGUCAAGGGGAUUUGACUUGUUAGGUUAAGAUUAUUGGAUUAGGGGAUUGAUGGAAUGUAAAUUCCAUCUCCCAAAAUGAACGAAUGAUCUUAAUUUUGGUAAAGUCCUCUUGACCAAUUUGUGAUUGAUCCAUUCCCCCUCCCUCUUUAUCUCAUUCCCCUUCUUUAUUCAUUCAUAUCAUGGACCUAUGUAUAUCUACAUCCAAAGGCUAGUUGAUUGCAAAAUCAACAUGAGUAUGGAUGAGAUUAGGUCACCACUUUGCAUAUUCUUUUUGUGUGUGGUAUGUUUCAUGAGUAUAAUCCAUUAUACUAUAUCUCUAACAUGAAUUAACACCAAAUUCUAUUGCCCGACCUCAAAUAGUUGUGACUUCUACAUAAGUCCAAUUAUGAUUGCUUAAUAUAGCGCUAAAUUUGUGACACAAAAAGGCAUAGCCAUUAUAGUAGAAGUGAGAUGUAAGUUCCACUCUUUCAUGGUGUGAGAAACUUGCCAUUUUUUCCUCCCGUGGAAAUGUCUUGGUUACAGAGACCUGCUAGUGAUAAGUGCGUUGAGUGUUCUCCAAAGAAUGACUUAAACAAAAACAAAACAAAACAAUACUAACUCUAACCGACUAACACUAACAUAUUAUACAAGCCAUUUACUUUUAUGCACUUUAAUUGAGCUUUAAUUCAUUUGCCAUUAUUCAUACCAUUCAAUUUGUUACUUAAUGUCAUUUUCACUUGCGCACACUGGUGCAUAAUUUGUGAUAUAUUGUAUUUGUAUAUACUUGUUGUUUUGUGUGUCCUUUUCCUUAAUGUACAUCAUAAGAACAAAAACCCUAAUAAAUAUUUUCGUGGACUGUUGAUUUGAUCUGAGACUAUUGGACUUAGAAUUUAGGCAACACUCCCUAUGCAAAUGACUUGGCCAAUGCCAAAUUUCAUGAAACCAAUUGCUUGUGAAGUUAACAUCCAUAUGAUACAAUAUUGAAGAUCCAUUUGAGUUCAUCUGCAACAUGAUCAUAUUGAAACUGUUAUUUUGAACCUGUGUCUAAUGCUCCUCUUUUAAGUCAUCUGAUACAUGGGGAAUCAUAAAGAAAGAUCAUGGAGUUGCUAAUCUUAGAUGUGGCUAUCUUUAUUUGAUGUCUUGGUCUUCCACCUUGCUAUUUGUGUAAUUGAUAUUCCUUGAUUCUAAACUCCAUAGGAAAUUUGGUUUCUAUAUGACAUUUUUGUUUAUUGGAUUACAGCCGUGGUCAGAUCUUUUCAACUCUUAACUUUUAAAUUCGUGCUUAGGAUUAGUCUCUUCAUCUCCUUCCAUUCUUUUAAUUUCAAAAUCUCUCCCUCCUUUUAAAACCUUUUUCAUUGUGUUUGUUUUCUAAACUUAGACCAUUUUUUUGCAAAUUAGAAACUUUGGCCUUAUGCCAUUGCAUUUUUAAACUCUUUUCUCAAUCAAACCUGUAAAUAAACUUAAUUAUACUUGACUUAAAAUUUUAGAAAGAAAAAAGAACUAACACUCAUUCAAAUAAUUUUGGCCUUUUUGUGCCUUGUUAAACUUAAAUUUUGUUAAAAGCAAUGCACUCAUUUUGAAUUAAUACCACGAACUACGAGUUUUGAUCCCUCAUUUUGUGUUGGUACCUAGCACAAGUCUGAAGGUCUUGUCAAACACAAAAAUAUAUUUAAUGAAUCUUUUUCUCAUCCCUCCACUCUAUUUUUUUUGCAAACAUCAGUUGUACAAAAACACAUAUCCAAAAAAAAGGGCUCCCUAGGAUAACCUAUGACAAUUUGGGUGCUAACAUCUUCCCUCUGUGUAAUCCACCCCCUUAUCCGUAAUCUCUGACAUUUUAUUAGUUUUGAUUUAAAAACUUCUUAUCUUUUGAGUUUUGUUCGUCCUUUUCCCUCUUCCUUGAAAAACCCAAAAGCGCGGUGGCGACUCUGGUUUUAUUGAAUUUAGCAUAUCCAUAGCUUAAUGGUCAUGGCAACCAAAUCAAAUCAGGAGUAUAUUAUUUGAUGAGAAUGUAUUAGCACCCCCGCAUAUUGUUGUACUCAACGAGAACCAUUUAGUUAAAUUUACGUGUAAAAGUGUUAGAUUAUGAUUUUAUUUCAUUUGAUUAUUAUGUUGUAUGAAAUAACCAAUAAAAUAAGUUUUUUAAUUAGGGUGCCUGACAGAAUUUUAAAUCUCGCUCCAACUGAAUAGAUAAAACAUCAUUCGUUUGUGAAAAGUUUUUUAGUCGUGCUGAGGAAGAAGUAGGAUUGAUGGGUUGAAAUAUUUUUUAGGUGGAAGAUGAUUAUUCUAAAGGAAAGAUAUACUCCUUUAUGGAUACAAGUAAAUAAAAAUAGAGAGUACAUGACUCGCUCGCAAUGAGAAAAUUGUCUCUCUCCUUUUUUAAACAUGGUUCUAGGGCCACAUCCUCUUCGUGUAAUUAAUUGACUAACAUAUAUCCUCUAUUUAAGACUUAUGUAAAGUUUGGAUAAAAAACUUUAUGACACAAAGAGGGAAAUAAUUAAUAGAAGAGUAACAAGUCUUGAAAUGGAUAAAAUACAAAGAUUAUAAGUGAAACAAAAAUCUACUAAACUACACAUAUUAUGCUCUUACUAGACACAAGUAAACAAUUAUUUUAAUCGCAUAAUAUUCUCCAAUGGUAAUAUAAUAAACAAUUAAUUAGAUCUCCUGAGUUUUUUCAAAGGUUGUUAUAUGUGUAUUGAUGUUUUAUUUGUUCACAAUUUUAAAAAGUCAACAAGGUCACUGUAAUUAUUAAAAAGAAAAGAGAAUAUAAAUGAAGUAUGAGGAAGAUCACUAGUUUUACAAUAUUAUUAUAUAAUAUAGAAGUACAAAGUAUAAGAAACUUUAACUUAUUUUCCAAUAAAUCUCUAGAGUUACUUUGAGAGGUGAUAUGAUUGAAAAGAAAAUGUAAUAUGGAUAAAUUGAAGGUCAUGAAUAUUUCUCUAAAAUUAAAAGGGAAGAAGGCAUCAAAAUAUUAUUAGUUUUUUCUAAAAUUAAAAAAGAGAAGAAGACAAUAAAAAAUGAAAAUAUAUUAUUUGUUAUUUUAUUUCAUUUCAUUACAAUCAUGUUACUAUAUAACCAACAACUACCAGGUUCUUGAAAUAGAACAAAAACAAAUAAGAUUGUUGGGGUAACCAUACAAUAUCCAAAUGAUAUGCGACAACACAAUAUAUAGGUGUUUGUGUGUUCUCUCGGGUCUCUCUUUUUAUGAGAUGUUUGUAAACUACUAAAGAUAUUUCUUUAUCUUCUCGAUUAAGCAAUUCAAGUCCUAGUACUCAUUAAACAAUGACUCUUGUUAUGCAUGUUCUUUAAAAGGAAACCGAAAAAAAAAUAUUUCUACAAUCUGAAUCAUCAAAACAUUUAAUUCUUUCUCCUACAAUAAAAACACACAAUAAGGUUAUUAAAAUAAUAAAAAAUACAAGGUAUGAAAUAAAAAAUAAAGUGUUAAAUGAAUGAAUUGAAGUUUCCUUCAAUUUUCGAUCCAAUAAAAAUAUAAAAGAUUAAUAUAAUCAUAACUUAAUAGAACUUUAUUAUUUCUAUCCUAUUUCUCCUCGUUAUAUUUAAUAAAUUAUUUUAUAACUUUAUAGUUUAAAUAACAGUGCAUCCUCACCCUCUUUAUAUCUCUUAAUUAUGGAUACAUAGUUGCAAAAUAAAUCUUAAAAAGAUGUCACAUCAUUUUGUUGUGUUAGUCUCUUCAGCACAUCUAAAAAAGAUGUCGGAUAAAACUUGUCUAUCAAAAAAUAUUUUCUUCUUAUAAUAAAAUUCUAAUUAUUUUAAAUUAUAUUACCUCGGAUGUGAAAUGGAGAUUACCUCAGUUAUAGAGAUUGGAUAACAAAGGGCAUCAUAAAAAACUAAUAUUUUAUCCAUCGGUUUUGAAUAACCGAGGGGAAAGGUGAAAAAGUCAUUGACUUGAUCCCAAUUUACGUAGGAUUUUUUAAAAUAACCGAGGGGUAAUAACCAAUGUUUUUUAAAAUUCCAUUUUGACUUACCUAAAUCAAUUUUUACAUAGAGCCUACAAUUAAGUGACAGAAUCAUAACGUUUGUAUUUUAUAUAGAAUACAAUACAGAAUAUCAUUUUAGCAUUGUUUAGCAAAACGUAAAUGUACAACCUUACACAAUACUUUAUAAUGCUAAUUUGGUAUACACAAAACCUCUACCUAAGAGAAACCUAUACAUAUUUGCACCUAAAUGAAAAGAACCUGCUACACAAUGCAAGUGUAUAGAUUAAAUAAAGAAAAAUCUCUCUCGGCGCGGAUUGCGCUGCACGAUUGCGCGAGAAGAUGUUGACCGAGUAAAACGUGAGAGAGUCAGGCUACGAGAGAUGUAANUAUAAUUAUUGGGGGUAAAAAUACAAUAUCCAAAUGACAUACGACAACACAUAAAAUAUAUUAGGUGUUUGCGUCUUCUCUAGGGACUUUCAAUUAAAAACUAAAUUUGUAAACUCUUAAAGGUAUUUAUUUAUCUCCUGGGAUUAAGCAAUUCACGCACUAUUUUACAUUUACAAUAAGUGUUGCUUAUGCAUUUUCCUCUAUAAGGAGGCCGGCAAUACAUUUUGUUUUGAUAAUCUGAAUCAUCAAAACAUUUGAUUCUCUCUGCUGCAAUAAAAAAACACUAUAUGGUUAUUAAAAUGAAAAAAAAUAUAACGUAUGAAAUAAAACAGAACAUUUAAAAUGAAUGAACAAAAGUUACCUUUAAUUUUCGUUCCAAUAAAAAAUAGAAAGAAUAAUAUAAUCAUAACCUAAGGAAAAUUUAUUACUUCUACCAUAUUUCUCCUCGUUAUUUUUAAUAAAUUAUUUUGUAACUUCAUAGUUUAUGAAUAAGAGUGGAUCCUCGCCUUUAAUAAUUUUUACUUGUGGACACUUAGUUGUAAAAUAAAUCUUAAAAUUAAAUUAAUUAGUAUAUAACUUUUCGAUACAUCAUUUUGUUGUCUUUGUUCCUCUUCAAGCAUAUCCAAAAAAGGAUGUAAAUAAAACUUGUCUAUCAUAAAAAUAUAUUCUUCUUAAUAAAAAUUUUAAUCAUUUUAUAUUAUUUUACCUCGGAUGUGAAUGGGAGAUUACCUCAGUUAUAGAGAUGGGAUACCAAAGAGCGUCAAAAAAAACUAACAUCUAUCGAUCGGUUUUGAAUAACCGAGGGGAAAGGUGAAAAGUCAUUCAUUUGAUCCCCAGUGUAGGUCGGAUUUUUUAAUACUGAGGGGUAUAACCAAUGUUUUUUAAAAUUCCAUUUUAACUGACCUUGAUCAUUUUAUAUAGAUCCUACAAAUUAGGUAGAGAAUCAUAUCAUUGUAUUUUAUUUAGAAUAUAAAACAAAAUACAAUUUUACAUGUUUAUAAAGCAAAUGUACAAUCCUUGCAAUACUUAUCGUGAUAUUGGUAUACACAAAACCUAUGCCAAGAGAACCUAUACAUAUUUCACCUAAAUUGACAAAACAUUUACACAAUGCUAGUGUAUAGAUAAAAAUCAAGAAAAACUAGUGUUUACUAGAUUCAUAAUGACAUAAGAAACACUUGCACAACGUGAUCGGAUGUCAUCUAUAUCCUCUUGUGGAAAUGGUGUUUUAUUGCUAGACGCUUAUAAUUUGAACAAAAUUUAAAUUAUGAUAAGAUAACUACAACAAUAAUAAAAUAACAAUUAUACAUAAAUUACAUGUAUAUGGAUAAAGUUAAUACCUUAUUCAAUGAAUUAAUAAUGCCAUUAGAGAAAAUAUUAGACAUAUGUAUCAUAGUAUUAUAUCGACAUAUAAAGUUCUGUGAUUAUCUUCGCUGCUACAAAUAAUUUCAUAUUGUUACUAAUUAAUACACACAAGACACAAGUAAUACAUUAGAGAAACUAAAAUAAUAUCAAAAAGCAUAAGUAAUACUUACACGUGGUUCUAUGAACUUUAGCUUUUUACCCUGUAUAUUACGUUUCACAAAUUGUAUCCCUCCAAAUCAUUACAUGAUGGUAAAAAUCAAACAUGAAUAAAACUUUUCAAGACUAAAGGUAAAAUUUGAGUAUUCCAAAUAAUACCACUUACGCACUUAAAAUCUUUUGUAUAUCUUCAUCAAGAUGACAAUGUAACCAGCAUAACAUAACUAUAAUAUUUUUCUUCUGACAUAAAAUAAUUAAUUGCAAAUGUUUGCUACAUAAAAACAUAGAAUAAUUACCAAUGUGUGUAUAAAUUGAUUUAUAAAUGAAAACACAAAUUAAAUCAUAUACUUAAUUAUGGAUAAAUUAUGACAUGUAAUAUCUUUUAUUCUCUUUAACCAACUUGUUUGUAUGCGUAUAUGGAUAUUGUUUGGUUAAAUUACCUUAAAAUUGAAUGUUCAAUGAAUCUAUGAAAUAAUAUGCUUUCAAUUUUCUUUCGACACUUGUCUCAUGCAUGACCCUAAUUAAAGGUAAUGCAAAUGUCAAAAUUUUAUGUUAAAGUAUGAGAACAAUGAAUUAGGGAAUCUCGUCUAUCAUACUAAAUAAUCUUUUUCAUUUCCAUUUAGUUAGAUUUGCAAAUAAGAGUGUUAGAUUACAUUAUUUUAUUUCCUCUGAAUACUAUGUUGUAUGAUAUAACAGAAGAAAUUAUUGUUUUAUUAGGGUGCUUGAGUAGAGGUUGUAUCUCGCUCCAACUGAAUUGAUAAAACAUCAUUCGUUUGUGAAACGUUUUUAGUCGCGCUGAGGAAGAAGUAAGAUUCAUGGGUUGAAAUUAUUUUAGGUUGAAGAUGAUAUUCGAAAGGAAAGAUAUACUCCUUUAUAGAUAAAAGUAAAAAUAAAAUUAGAGAGGAAAUGACUCGCUCGUAAUGAGCGUAUUGGCUCUCUGCAUUUUAAAACAGGGUUCUAGGGUCACAUCCUCUUCAAGUAAUUUCUUGACUAACAUGUAUCUCUAUUUAAGACUCAUAUAAAGUUUGAAUAAAAACUUUAUGACACAGGAAAGAAAAUUAUUAAUAGAAGAGGUAACAAGUCUGAAUGGAUAAAAUACAAAGAUUAUUAGUGAAAUAAAAUCUACUAAAGUACGAAUAUUCUGCUCUUACUACACACAAGUAACAUUUAAUAUUAAUCUCCAUAAAAAUUUCUUAUGGUUAUUAUAAAAAUAACAAUUAAUUAUAUCUCCAUAGUUUUUCAAAGGUUAUUAUAUGUGUAUUGAUAUUUUAUUUGUUUGCAUCUUUUAAAAGGUGAACAAGCGCCACCGUAACUAUUAAAAAGUAGAGAAAUAUAAAUUGAAGAAUGAGAAAGAUCAAUAGCUUAUAAUAUUAUAUAUAAAUAUAGAAGUAUAAAAUUGUAAGAAACUUUAAAUUAUUUUCAAUUUAUUUUUAAGAUACUUUGAGAGGUGAUAGGAUGGAAAAGAAAAUGUGAUAUGCAUAAAUUGAAGGUCAUGAAUAUUUCUCUAAAAUUUAAAGUGAAGAAGAUACUAAAAAUAUUAUUACUUGUUGUCCUAUUUCAUUUCAUUACAAUAAUACUAGUGUGAAAUCCACAACUAUAGGUUGUGAAAUAAAAUUUAAACAAAAAUAUAAUUAUUGGGGUAAAAUAAAUAUCCAAAUGACAUACGACAACACAUAAAAUAUAUUAGGUGUUUGCGUCUUCUCUAGGGACUUUCAAUUAAAAACUAAAUUUGUAAACUCUUAAAGGUAUUUAUUUAUCUCCUGGGAUUAAGCAAUCCACGCACUAUUUUACAUUUACAAUAAGUGUUGCUUAUGCAUUUUCCUCUAUAAGGAGGCCGGCAAUAUAUUUUAUUUUGAUAAUCUGAAUCAUCAAAACAUUCGAUUCUCUCUGCUGCAAUAAAAAAACACUAUAUGGUUAUUAAAAUGAAAAGAAAUAUAACGUAUGAAAUAAAACAGAACAUUUAAAAUGAAUGAACAAAAGUUACCUUUAAUUUUCGUUCCAAUAAAAAAUAGAAAGAAUAAUAUAAUCAUAACAUAAGGAAAAUUUAUUACUUCUACCAUAUUUCUCCUCGUUAUUUUUAAUAAAUUAUUUUGUAACUUUAUAGUUUAUGAAUAAGAGUGGAUCCUCGCCUUUAAUAAUUUUUACUUGUGGACACUUAGUUGUAAAAUAAAUCUUAAAAUUAAAUUAAUUAGUAUAUAACUUUUCGAUACAUCAUUUUGUUGUCUUUGUCUCUUCAGCAUAUCCAAAAAAGAUGUAAAAUAAAACUUGUCUAUCAUAAAAAUAUAUUCUUCUUAUAAAAAAUUUUUAAUCAUUUUAUAUUAUUUUACCUCGGAUGUGAAUGGGAGAUUACCUCAGUUAUAGAGAUGGGAUACCAAAGAGCGUCAUAAAAAACUAACAUCUUAUAGAUCGGUUUUGAAUAACCGAGGGGAAAGGUGAAAAAGUCAUUCAUUUGAUCCCCAGUGUAGGUCGGAUUUUUUUAAUAAUUGAGGGGUAUAACCAAUGUUUUUUAAAAUUCCAUUUUGACUGACCUUGAUCAUUUUCUAUAUAGAUCCUACAAAUUAGGUGACAGAAUCAUAUCAUUUGUAUUUUAUUUAGAAUAUAAAACAAAAUACCAAUUUUACAUUGUUUAUAAAAGCAAAUGUACAAUCCUUGCAAUACUUAUCGUGAUAUUUGAUAUACACAAAACCUAUUCCAAGAGAACCUAUACAUAUUUGCACCUAAAUUGACAAAACAUUUACACAAUGCUAGUGUAUAGUUAAAAAUCAAGAAAAACUAGUGUUGACUAGAUUCAUAAUGACAUAAGAAGACACUUGCACAACGUGAUCGGAUGUCAUCUAUAUCCUCUUGUGGAAAUGGUGUUUUAUUGCUAGACGCUUAUAAUUUGAACAAAAUUUAAAUUAUGAUAAGUUAACUACAACAAUAAUAAAUUAACAAUUAUACAUAAAUUACAUGUAUAUGGAUAAAGUUAAUACCUUAUUCAAUGAAUUAAUAAUGCCAUUAGAGAAAAUAUUAGACAUAUGUAUCAUAGUAUUAUAUCGACAUAUAAAGUUCUGUGAAUACAUAAAUUACAUGUAUAUGGAUAAAGUUAAUACCUUAUUCAAUGAAUUAAUAAUGCCAUUAGAGAAAAUAUUAGACAUAUGUAUCAUAGUAUUAUAUCGACAUAUAAAGUUCUGUGAUUAUCUUUGCUGCUACAAAUAAUUUUCAUAUUGUUACUAAUUAAUACACAAAAGACAUAAGUAAUACAUUAGAGAAACUAAAAUAAUAUCAAAAAGCAUAAGUAAUACUUACACGUGGUUCUAUGAACUUUAGCUUUUUACCCUGUAUAUUACGUUUCACAAAAUUGUAUCCCUCCAAAUCAUUACAUGAUGGUAAAAAUCAAACAUGAAUAAAACUUUUCAAAACUAAAGGUAAAAUUUGAGUAUUCCAAAUAAUACCACUUACGCACUUAAAAUCUUUUGUAUAUCUUCAUCAAGAUGACAAUGUAACCAGCAUAACAUAACUAUGAUAUUUUUCUUCUGACAUAAAAUAAUUAAUUGCAAAUGUUUGCUACAUAAAAACUUAGAAUAAUUAAUAAUGUGUGUAUAAAAUGAUUUAUAAAUGAAAACACAAAUUAAAUCAUAUACUUAAUUAUUGAUAAAUUAUGACAUGUAAUAUUCUUUAUUCUCUUUAACCAACUUGUUUGUAUGCGUAUAUGGAUAUUGUUUGUUAAAUUACCUUAAAAUUGAAUGUUCAAUGGAUCUAUGAAAUAAUAUGCUUUCAAUUUUCUUUCGACACUUGUCUCAUGCAUGACCCUAUUUAAAAAGUAAUGCAAAUGUCAAAAUUUUAUGUUAAAGUAUGAGAACGAUGAAUUAUGGAAUCUCGUCUAUCAUACUAAAUAAUCUUUUUCAUUUCCAUUUAGUUAGAUUUGCAAAUAAGAGUGUUAGAUUACAUUAUUUUAUUUCCUCUGAAUACUAUGUUGUAUGAUAUAA
rnacentral:lncRNA from 1 species